rnacentral:sRNA from 1 species
UUGUAUCUGAAGCCUGACGAGGAUGAGAACCUCCGGGGGCAAGAGGUUCGACCCGAGCGAAGCGAGAGAACGUAGCGUCACCAACGGCCCGCAGGGCGAGCCACGCAGUGGCGAGUCAUCCACUAACACCGACAA